rnacentral:rRNA from 1 species
AUUGAACGCUGGCGGCAGGCCUAACACAUGCAAGUCGAGCGAGCGGCGGACGGGUGAGUAAUGUAUGGGGAUCUGCCCGAUAGAGGGGGAUAACUACUGGAAACGGUGGCUAAUACCGCAUACUAUCGGAUGAACCCAUAUGGGAUUAGCUAGUAGGUGGGGUAAAGGCUCACCUAGGCGACGAUCCCUAGCUGGUCUGAGAGGAUGACCAGCCACACUGGAACUGUGACGCGAUCCAGACUCCUACGGGAGGCAGCAGUGGGGAAUAUUUCACAAUGGGCGCAAGCCUGAUGCAGCCAUGCCGCGUGUGUGAAGAAGGCCUUCGGGUUGUAAAGCACUUUCAGCGAGAAGGCGUAACUCGCUGAAGAAACACCGGCUAACUCCGUGCCAGCAGCCGCGGUAAUUC